GGGAAUAUAGCUCAGUUGGUAGAGUGCUUGCUUCACAUGCACAAGGACCUGGGUUCAAUCCUCAGCACCCCCA
rnacentral:tRNA from 1 species